UCGUUAGGUAACUAUAUUGGAUCCUAGGGAAUUUUCCUGCCCAUAUGAAUGUGGAGAGGAUGCGCUUGGCGUGGUUGAAGAAAGUAGAAAGAAGUUUAAUGGGUAAUGUUUGUAGUAUGUAGAGGAAUUUUGCCCAGUCAGUGCCACCACUCAUAUCUGGUGUCACAAUAGCUUGCAUUUAAAAACAAAAAACUUUUUUCACUGUUAUAGAUUGAAUUGCAGUCAGUGUCCUUAAAGCGGGUGUGUCAGGC